rnacentral:other from 1 species
AGUUAUCUGAGGUGUUCGUUAGGUAUACACUGUCUUGACCGAACAUUUUCUUUACAUAAAAGGGAUUCCGUUAUACUCAAUGAUGACAAGCCUUUUCACUUGGUAGUCAGAGAUUGCGUAUUAAGAAACCCACCUGCUUAUAACAUGCGGGUUCAAAACAACUAUAUAAAGACGGCAUCAUCGGAUAAUAG